ACAUCAAUUUGAUUGUUGUAAUCAGUUAGAAAUAUUUCUGUUUUCAGAUAGCUUAUUUUGUACUGAUGUUUGUUGUGAACCUCAUUGUAACAAAAACUUAAUGAUAUAUAUGACAUCAAUUUGAUUGUUGUAAUCAGUUAGAAAUAUUUCUGUUUUCAGAUAGCUUAUUUUGUACUGAUGUUUGUUGUGAACCUCAUUGUAACAAAAACUUAAUGAUAUAUAAUGAUUGAAGGUUA
rnacentral:lncRNA from 1 species